UACGUAGGGGGCUAGCGUUGUCCGGAAUCAUUGGGCGUAAAGCGCGUGUAGGCGGCCCGGUAAGUCCGCUGUGAAAGUCGGGGGCUCAACCCUCGGAUGCCGGUGGAUACUGUCGGGCUAGAGUGCGGAAGAGGCGAGUGGAAUUCCUGGUGUAGCGGUGAAAUGCGCAGAUAUCAGGAGGAACACCGGUGGCGAAGGCGGAUCUCUGGGCCGUAACUGACGCUGAGGAGCGAAAGCAUGGGGAGCGAACAGG
rnacentral:rRNA from 1 species